AACAAAGAAGUAAAAUUUACAUUUAGUUUCGACCUAAAAUUAAGGAAAUAACCCUCAUGUUU
rnacentral:tRNA from 1 species